rnacentral:rRNA from 1 species
UACGUAGGGUCCGAGCGUUGUCCGGAAUUAUUGGGCGUAAAGGGCUCGUAGGCGGUGUGUCGCGUCGGCCGUGAAAACCUGCAGCUUAACUGUGGGCUUGCGGUCGAUACGGGCAUCACUGGAGUUCGGCAGGGGAGACUGGAAUUCCUGGUGUAGCGGUGAAAUGCGCGGAUAUCAGGAGGAACACCGGUGGCGAAGGCGGGUCUCUGGGCCGAUACUGACGCUGAGGAGCGAAAGCGUGGGGAGCGAACAGG